ensembl:lncRNA
AAAACGAUGAGCUUCUGUCUCCUGCCAGUCUGGAUGAAGCUAACAGCAGUAAAAACAACCAACCUUUGAACCUCGUUUGUUAACUCUAUCCAUGGAGGAAAGGUUAUGUUGGAAAUGCGUCUGUAAAAAAAAGAUAGGUGACCUUUUUGAGCCUACAUACUCACAAAUACGUGCAGCUCUUGUCAUCUUGUUCCUCCUGGCCUUUAUAUUUAACUGGUAUGGAGAUGAAGAGCGUGUCUGUGUUCAGGGAAUAGUUUUGCUGUCUGUAAAAAAAACAAACAAAACAAAACACAAUGAAGAGCUCUGCAGUCACCUAAAACCAUAUAAUUGAGGAAAACGAUUUCCUGAUGCAAGUCAACUUCUCAAAUCAGGGAAUGCGGCAGGUGGGAGUUCAGCGUGGAUGAAGGUGAUCGGAGCAGAGGAUGAGAAAGUGGCUUAGUGAGGCAGUCGAGAGAUAAAAAAAGAUCACACCUCUCAACAGAAGACGCUUCACAUCUUUAUCCUCCCCUCCAUGUUUUUGUGAGAUCAAACUCAGAUUUGGUCCCCUGAUUUGCUGUUAUAAUAGUCUCCACUCUUCUGGGAAGGCUUUCCAUUAGAUUUUGGAGCGUGGCUGUGGGGAUUUGUGUUCAUUCAGCCACAAGAGCAUUAGCGAGAUCAGGCACUGAUGUUGGG